ACUGUUUGUGUUAUUAUCCUGUGUUAGUAAUGGUUUGUAUCUGUCACUAAGCAGUAGUGAACUAUGAAUGGGGGUGGUGCCUCUCAUCUUGGUUUCAAAUCACCACCACAAUAUCAACAUCACAAUAUCAACUACAACAUCAACUGAGGAACUAAAGGCAGACAGGACAAAGUAACCGACACCCUCUUCAUUGAGUUGAAUUGAGUUCAGGAUAAACAACAGAGGAAAAGUACCUCAAAAUUAUGACUUCAGCACAACAGCGAUCUGGGAAAUCACAGACUAGAAAAGAAGAGGAGGAGUUAUGGAAAUGAGGUGUUUUUCCUGUAGCUAUAACAACCUGUAUCUGAAGGAGGGCAGAGUACAGGGUUACAUACAUUCCUGCCAUGCCAGUGUCUAAUUGGGUGAAGUCAGCAAACAGCAAUGAUGGC
ensembl:lncRNA